GUUUGGAUACGAGGUGUUAAACUUUAACAGUGUCACAUCGGAUGUUCGGAUGCUAAUUAGAAGAACUAAAUAUGAGCUAAUUAUAAAACUAAUUGCAGAACCCUGUGCUAAUUCGCGAGACGAAUCUAUUAAGCCUAAUUAAUCCAUCAUUAGCAAAUGAUUACUAUAGCACCACAUUGUCAAAUCAUGGACUAAUUAGGCUUAAUAGAUUCGUCACGCGAAUUACACUCCAUCUGUGCAAUUAGUUUUGCAAUUAGCCUAUAUUUAGUACUCCUAAUUAGCAUAAAACAUCCGAUGUGACGGGUGUUAAACUUUAACACCUGGUUGCCAAACAG
rnacentral:lncRNA from 1 species